GGCAAUUAACAGUUAAUACCUUCAGGGCACACAUGAUAUGAUGUCAGUAAAUAAACUAGCACAUAACAUGACAUUAAAAAAAUCUAACAGUAAUAUCUGAUUAUUCUCCAUGUGUGUAAAGAUACUAAAGAAAAACAUUUCACCAACAUAAAGUUGCAUAAAAAUGAUAAACAGGAUAACUCACCAUAAACUAAACCAAAAACAAAAUGUAAUGGAAUGAUAUUGCAGAAUUGCAAUAACUAAUAAAAAGAAUAAAGGACUGGAAAGAAAAAGAAAGAGAUAAAAACAAAAAUUAAGCAUCAAAAUGGCAGACAUUUUUGAUUGAAUUAAUGUAAAAAAAAAUAUAGUUUUUUGCAGUAUAAUUGUUCUUUCAAUUUUAUAUAUCCU
rnacentral:lncRNA from 1 species